rnacentral:lncRNA from 1 species
AUGAAUAAAAUCUUAAACAAAAAAAAGGAGGGGGGCGCGGAGCAGAGGCAGCAGGAGGGGGAAGGGAGGCCCAGCUUGCGGGGUGGGGGCAGGUGCUGCGGGGGGGGGGGGCGGUGGUGGUGGUGGAGGGGGCUUGGGUGCCCUGUGAAGGACUCUGGGUUUCAGGCUCUGGGAUUCGGGGGUUUCUCAAGGGUUUGGAGGCCCGGGCCAGGCCGGCCAGUGCGGCCCGCAGCCCGAGGUGGGCGGCCGCCGGGGAGAGGGCGGGAAGAGGCCGGGGAUGCGGUGACGCUGGGUGAGGACAGGGAGCCGCUGGCAAGGGCAGCCGACAGUGGGGGGCCCGGGACGGCACGCGCCGCCGAAGGGGCAGCUCCCGCCGAGGGCUCCGCGCUCAUUCUGUCCUCGGGGCUUGCGUUCAGCCUCGGCCGAGGUGCAACGGGCGAGGUGAGCCGCGCUCAGGGCAGACUCCGCGCGGCGGGGCGGGGGGCCGGGCAGCCGGGGCGCCAGGCGCGGGCUCGCAGGUGCUCGGAGGGCAGAGCGCGGAGCCGGACCGUCCCCCCCGGGCUGCGGGGUCCUGCGUCAGGCUCGCUCCUGGUGACCGAGGGCCCAAGCGAGGCGGCCCCUGCCCGCAGCCCCCGGCUUACGGAGGGACGACCUGGGGUCGGGCUGGGCGGGGCUGGGCCGCCUCCGCUUGCCCGGCGGGGGGAGCCCGACCCAGCGGCGGAUGAAGGGCUUUCGAGCCGGUGGGACGGGGUGGGGGGGGCGCAGCAUGAGCAUCGGCGUCCCCAAGGCCCUGCGAGCGGUGGGAGGCGACAGGGGCCUGGACGGGAGCUGCAGAGGGUCCCCCACUUGUCAGCUCAUUCGUUGUCCCGGAGCGACGUCGCAUCCCACGCGGUCCCACGCGGUCCCACGCGGUCCCACACGGUCCCACAGGGUCCCUCGCGAUUCUUCAUGGUCCCUCGUGGUCCCACACGGUCCCUCAUAGUCCCACACGGUCCCUUGCGAUCCCACACGAUCUCUCGCGGUCCCUCGUGGUCCCACACAGUCCCUCAUAGUCCCACACGGUCCCUCGCGAUCCCACACGGUCCCACGCGAUCCUUCACGGUCCCUCGUGGUCCCACACGGUCCCUCAUAGUCCCUCACGGUCCCUCGCGGUCCCACACGGUCCCACAGGUCCCACACAGUCCCUCGCGGUCCCACACGGUCCCACGCGAUCCUUCACAGUCCCACAGAGUCCCUCAUAGUCCCACACGGUCCCUCGCGGUCCCACACGGUCCCACAGGGUCCCACACAGUCCCUCGCGGUCCCACACCGUCUCUCACGGUCCCCCGCAGUCGGAGGCUGCAGCAGGGCCGGCAGGACUGGGCCCCGGGGCGCUGGUUAGCAGGCAGGGGUGCUCUCGGCCUCUGCGAACCUGGCCGUCCCCCUGGGGGCAACACAGGCGGGCAGGGUGGAAACUGUCUCACCUCAUGGGAAACACCGAGAAGGGAACUUACCACACAUCUGCGGCGCGGGUGCCCACAUGUGCUCACGGGCCCCACGGCGGCCAACAGGACAGGUCUGACCCGGGGGAGGGGGAGGGGUGUGCGAGCCCGAGCUCUGCGCGCUGUGGACGCUGACGGUGACGGGGGCUGGGGGGGCUCCCCAGGGAGGCAGCCCUCCACCUGCUGUCACCAGAAGGGGCCACUUCAGGGUCACAGAGGGAGAAGCCUGAGCACAGCAGGGUGAGGGCCGGUAACUGGUAAGGAGCGGGUGGGCAGAAACUCCUUCCAGAAGUUUGUCAUGAGGGAAGGGGCCUGGGAUCUCGCGGAGUUGUUUUGAAAAUGCGUUAGAGGUGCGAACACCGAAGGGGCCCACCAGCCGGGAGUGAGGCGUGACCUGCAGGAGGGCGACGGGGCUGGGACCCCGAGGGCUGGGUGCGGGCACAGGGGCGGGGCAGCUCACGAGGGGAAGGUCUCCUGAGCGGAGCAGGAGGGGGAAGAAGGGGCAUGAACCCGGGUGGUGUCUAGAUUCAGCAGCAAGGCAUUCUUUCAGGGGGCCCCUGCGCAGGGGUGGGCCCAGCUCCCCCGUGAAAUGGGAAGCUAGGUGACCCAAGAGCCAGGCGAAGGGCUGGGUGGGCACUGGCAGGGAUCCGCAGAGGCACUCCCCCGCCAGCCCUUGGGGGACCGAGCUCAGCGCGACCGAGUGCCCUCCGACUAGAAGUCAAAUCCAAGAGCCUCAGGAGGAGGUGACAUGGAUCCCGGAUAAACACACACAGGCCAAAGAAUGGUGUUUCUCUCUUUUAUUUAAAAACAGUGCUUCAUUACCAUUUGCAAAGGCAGAGGCAGUGCUCCUCCUUCGCUUAGAGUUUAUAAAAGCCAGCAACAUGAUCAAUAAUUUAUACACAUGGAUAGUAAUACAAAAAAAUAAGGAAUAAAAGCUAAAGAUCUAACUACUCCGACCUUCACAAUUCCAGCUACUUGAUAAUAAUAGGAGUAACCCAAUGAAUACUGUAUGGUCUGAAAGCUACUAUACAAUAUGAUUCUUAACGAGAGGGGGAGGGAGUUAGAGACUGUCACAAAGCCCUGGGGUGCUUCUCUGGAGAUCGCAGGGAAACAGGACCCUGGGCAAGCAGCUCGGGUGUCCUAGGAAGUGACUCUGGGGGUGGGGUUGGGGAGAGAAGGCGAGGUGGUCAAUUAUACAAGCAUCCCAUGUGAUGCCCCCAUGCCCCAAAAGGUACCUGUUUUGCCAUGGCAAUGGGAGGGGGGGCAGGAGAAGCUGCAUGUUCCAUGUUGGGAGGGUCCAGUCCCUGCCAUGGGGAGUGGGGAGGAGAGGUUUUGUGGCAUUUUUAGCCUUGCAAAGAUUUGGACUGAAAAGCUCAGAGACGCAGGUAGGUCAGCCUGUCAGGGACAAGUCAACACUACUGGCCCUGUCAGCACUCUGCAGCCCUAGCUUACGUGUGUCGGCCCCAGGUUUGCUCCAGCUAUUCACAAGCAGAAUUAAAACACAAGGAAAAAAAAAUUCAUAUCCCUUAGGGAAAAAAGAGGAUCAAUUCAUCACUCGAUAUAUAAUACAGCCAAAAUGAGCUGCCAAAACAAGCACACACACACACACAAAAAUACUGUGAACAGAAAAAUACAAGAAAAUGGCUAAGCUGGGGAAGUCUCGAUGGGGGUAUAGACAUUGCUUAAAGCACUUUAUCAGUCCCCAGAAAAACCAAACCAAAAGUCAUUUUUUAAAAAUUCAGAAAACACAAGUACCCCCUGGGAAUCUGGCGUUGGUAACUGGGGUGGGGGUGCGGGUUGGGGGAGAGGAAAGAGAAUUGAUGAUCCCUUUUUGCUUGCCAGUGUGACUGAGCCUCUGCCACACUGGCACAUGUGUGACUGCCAGCCAGCCGGAGCAGACCGAGCCCCCCGCUGGCAGUCUCCUUAAAGGCAAGGUUUGAGUUUUGGCUGAUGAGCAGUUCUCUCGGUUACCAAUCCCUGCCAACCAGCACUACCAUGGCUGAAUUGAUCUACCGUUUUCCUGAGUAAACUGUAACUGGCUACAGUUCCGGUAACAUGGAUGAGAACAGCUACUACAGCCAACUUGGAUUAACUUGAGGAAUCCCCUCCACCCUCGGCUCCUCGUUCCUAGUGCGUCUGAUUCAGGAAUUGGAGAACUUGCCGUAGUCUGGUCUGUAAGCCUUAUUUUAAAGACAGGUGCCAGGGACUCCACUGCACUCGCUAAACCAGAGGGCACGUGCUGGCUUAGGACACCCGGAGCCUACUUGGAAAGGGCUCUGCUUCACGCUCUAGCUCUUGGAUGGCUAUUGCCUGGUUGAUCAAUAAAGCAAGUAUGAAGCAAGUACACAGGAGAAGGGAAAGGGAGGAAAGAGGCUUUUGGACAGUAACAUUACCAAAAAAAAAAAAAAAAAAAGUGUUCUAUGUAACAGAAUCAAGUCUCACUGGUGUAUACUACAAAUGGUCAGACACUUUCAAGAGCAUGACAAAAUAAAAAUACACAAAUUUACGUCUGAUGUUCACCUUGCCCACUAUUCUUUUUUCCUAUCUUAAAACAGUGCAAACAGGUAACUUAUGCUUUUUAAAACACCACUACCCCUUCCCCACCCCCCAAAGUCCCUUUCUUCCUAUCAUCUGGGGAAAAAAAAAUCUGCAAUUCUGCAAAUGUUACUGUGCUAGAGGUUGCAAGCAGCAGGAGGCUGGAGUUAGUGAGGGAGAGGGCACAAGCAGUUUCCCUCCCCGCUCCUGGCCGGUGUGCCUUCCAGAGGGGCCCCGGCUCGGCCCUGUUCUCCCGUCUGAG